GGUGGCUCAGUGAUUAGAGUGCUUGCCUUGCAUGCAUGAGGUCCUGGGUUCAAUUCCUCAGCACCA
rnacentral:tRNA from 1 species